rnacentral:lncRNA from 1 species
CCGAGACUGACGCUGCUGCCGGGUACAUCUGCGACCCUGCCGAUCAGUCCUUUGCCGCAGAGCAGCAAGGCAAGCAAACCCCCCUUGAUCAUUCCUAUAUCGCCUAUGUCUUUCUUCCUACUGCUUGCAUUAGUAUUUUGCUACUGUUGUAGUUAGCUCCUAUAUCUGAUGCAUAGCCUGUUUUUGAUGAACUGCUACUUUCAGUCCUGUACCUUUAAUAUGCUUAGUAUAGGUGGAGCAGUCAUCCCCUCUGACCCCGUAGAUCAGUUGCCCCGCUUGUUUUCAAUUCUCGAUCUCUGAUCGACGAGCCAAACCCAACACAGCACAUUCACCCCCCUUUGUUGUACGACGCUACAGAGAUACUAUCGGGUACUGAGGGUGACACCUCACUAAGUACUCCUGAUGAUAUCUCUGUAGUAUCGCUAGUCGGUCGUGGUUAUCGAGGGUGAUUCCUCUUUCACCAUUCCCGAUGACGUCUCUGUCGUGCCACCCCGCGAGUGUGGGACCCCCGAGGGUGAUUCCUCUAAGCCCACCUUGAUGGGUACAUCGUUCGGAAUCCAACGAGAGUGAUACCUCGGAUCCCCCUCGGUGUUACAACCACACAGUUACUCGACCAUGUUACUGGGAUCUUUGGUGAUUAGUUGUAAGACGGGUGGAUUCCCGUGAGAUUGUGUUGGUGGCCUAAUUAAAAUGCUAAUGGAUUUGGGUAUUUGAUCUGGGUUGGUCGGAGACCUUUUCGCACUAACCGGCUACGUGGGAAGAAUUAUGGGUACUCGGCGUCGCGGUAUCAGCCGAAGCUUUUCAGAUGCCAGCAAUGUAGCGGCGCGUGCCCGAGUGGUCCCGAGAUGCAUCGCGCUUGUGAUUAAGGGAUCCUAGGACUGACGUCGGCCGCCCACGCCACGUGCAGGAGCGUGAAGGGGAACUGGGCCCACGAACGCUUUGUGCUUAGGAUUUAGACCGGCGGGCUGGCCUCUCUGAUUAGUCUUAGGUGGGGCUGCGACGUGUCGAUAUUCCGAGGCCGGGCAGGACCCAGAAAAGUAUGUCCGGCGAGAGUGUUAUCGAGCGUGACGGGACAUGUGGUGCACCCCUGCAGGGAUGAAAAUUAACUAUUCGGAUAGCCGUGUCCACGGUUACAGGACGACUUGGAGUUGUGCCCCGAUCUUUUACAACUACAAUUGUUACUUAACUGGAAUUAGUUUGCCUCGGGAUUGCUUCCUCGCAGGGAGUCGAGGGAGGAUCUUUUAGCGUGACCUCACUUUAAUAUUGCUGCAACAAUAUGACUAUUAAUGUUUUACCCGUGUUCUACUCUCGUCUAUUGCUGCAAGACCCUGAAGAUGCUAGUCUUCGAUAGGACUAGGCCUUCUCUCUCUAUUCUCGCAUUGCUGCAGUCAGUCCACAUAUAACCCCCUUCUUUGAUACUGAUGCAUAUUUUAGAACAGUUCUGAUGUAAGACUUGCGAGUACUUUGGAUGAGUACUCACCGCUGCUUUGCUCCCCCCUUGCCCCCUUGAUCCGUUUGCUGCGACCAGAUGAUGGAGCCCAGGAGAUGGAGGUCCCCGCCGCCGACGACUGCUACCCUGACGGUGCCUACUACUACGUUGUGGCCGCUGAUGAUCAGGAGUAGUUAGGAGGUUCCCAGGCAGGAGGCCUCUCCUCGUUCGAUCGUUGUAUCUUUUGUGCUAGCCUUCUCUAAGGCACCCCAUGUUUUAUGUCUGUACUCAGAUAUUUGUUGCUUCCGCUGACUCGUGUGUUUAUCGAGCUUUCGUAUUCUAACCCUCGAGGCCCCUGGCUUGUAAUAUGAAGCUGAUGUUAUUUUAUUUGUGUC